GACAGUAGUUUUAGAAUCUGCUUGGCCUGAACCAUGGAGAGAAAACGGAUACCCAUGUUGUUAUUUGAAAUGGAACUAGGAAAUGAUCUCAAGUGAAUCUAACAAGCUUUGUUACAUGAAAGAUCAAUUUGAAUGCGGAAGGAAGCUUGGAGUUGAAAGGGGAUUCAGUUUUCUAUGUAUUUACAGAGAAGGAAUUGCUUAUGUUUUGAAUACUUUCAGAUGGAAUGUCUGAUGAGUGUUGUCAGCAUUAGUUGAGGUUGGGUGGAAGAAGAGCCCACCUUGUCCAGGAACACAUGGCCUUGCUUUCCUCUCUCCCUUCCGUCCACCCUCUCUAUAUGGAUCGGCCCCACUUCUGCCUUUAAAGUUGUUAUUCAUAUGGAAUUCCUGGGCUGUUAUUGAUACUAUCAGCUUUAAACAGACAGCUAGCGUAUGCUUGAAUAAGUCCAGAAACACAUUCAUGUGAUGAUGUUGAUACUGAUAAGUAAUGUGAAGUUGACAGCAACUUGGACUAGCUACUCAAUUACAAGAAUGAGAGGAUUUGAAGGGAGAAAUAAAUGCCUGUUACAAUUCAUCGCAAGUGGUUACAGUAUGUAGAUGAUAGAAGAUGGAUUGACAACAGUCGGAAAGGGGCAUAUUAUUAUUCUUAGGAGUAUUAAUACAUGGCUUAUUAACUAUGAGGAAUUGUGGGUAGAUCCAUGUUGAAGAUCUUGAAAGGUUGUAAUUAUAAAUUGUUGAUUUAUUCCAGGUUUUUCUUGACCAAUAGAUGGAGUCACCCAUAUGGAAUGUGAGGUUGCCAUCAGAUUCACAGUAAUCCAGAUUACAAGUCAAGUUUGAAUAGAGUCAAUUGCUACAAGAACAAGAAAGGAAGCAAAAGGCAAAUGGAAAGGAAGGAAGGAGCUGGAAAACAGGGGUGCUCAGGAAGAGAUAGAGACAAGCAGCAAUAAAUUAAUGAGGCUAAGCCAGACCACAAAGAGUGCUUCAGCCAUGGCAACAAGGGUCAUUAUGCCAGAGAUCGCGGCUCAUGAAGAAAGCUAGGUGAAGGCAAAUAUGGAGACUUACCUGCAUUCCACAUUUAGGGUGCUUAUGAUUCUGGAAAGGAACAAGAAAAUCAAAGGUGACUGCCUUAGUACUGGCUAGUAAUUUUAUUUGGUGACUGACUUUCAAUAUCAUGAUCUGAGAGAUGUAAGAUUUUAUGUUCUUAUCAGUAAAUUCCCAGUUUUCACCUCUAUGUUUUUUGUAGCUGAUCAAAGUUCAGACGCUAAUUGAUAUGGGUGAAUUCCAGUGGAUGCAUGAUUAUCAUAAUGAAAAUUAUGACUAGUCCUUUAAAUUUCUGCAACUUCGAAGAGAUAGAAGAAAGCAAAGGAUAUUGAUCUGAGAAUGGAAGAUAAGUUACUUAUCAUUCUGUCAUUUUAUGUACAUCAAUGAUACAAUAUACAUAGGUCCGAAUUGGACUUAGUGAACCUAAACAGCUGGCUAUUUUGCUUGCUCUUUGUUCUUCACUCUCUCAUGAUGCCUUUAGUCGAGAAGCAACAUCAAGGAAAGCAUGUUCCUCACAUGGACUAGUGAGAGCAACCAUUGGAUGAUUGAACCCAAAUUCUUCCUCAGCCUGGCUAAGCAAGGAUCUGAAUGAAGGCUGGUUCAAGUAAGAUAGUUGAAGAAUAGGGUUUCAUGGGAAUAAUAUUCUUUCAUUGAGAUUAUUCUUUUAUAGAGUUUACAACAUAUACAAAUCCUUCAAAUUAGGAAACUAAAUCAUUGAUUAAAAGGAAAGAAUAACUCCUAAUAAUUACUUUCCUAAAAAUACAAAGAUUGACAACUAAUAAAUAAUUUACAGCUUUACAAAGUUAUUUCUUUCCAUAUCAGUUUCGGUUUUCCAACACUCCCCCUCAAGCUGGCUUAAAGAUAUCUUCCAUAGCCAGCUUGCCAACUAGAAAAUCGAAUUGCCUCUAGUGUAGUCCUUUGGUGAAGACAUCAGCCACUUGUUCCUUAGUAGGGAUAUAGGUCAUACAGACCAAUCCGUUGUCUAUCUUCUCUUUAAUGAAAUGCUUGUCCACUUCCACAUAUUUGGUGCGGUCAUGGAGAACCGGAUUGUGAGCUACUGAAAUUGCUGCCUUGUUGUCACAAUACAACUUCAUAGGAGAUGAACCUAUCAUCUUUAACUCUUACAGUAAUCUUCUUAUCCACAUAAUCUCAUAAAUACCAUGAGCUACAACUCUAAACUCAGCCUCAGCACUACUUCUAGCAACCACAUUCUGUUUUUUACUUCGCCACGUAACCAAGUUGCCACCUACAAAUGAACAGUACCCAGAGGUUGACCUUCGAUCCACUAUGCUUCCAACCCAGUCUGCAUCGUUGUAGGUUUCAAUUUGUAGGUGUCCUCGUGACUUGAAUAGAAGACCUCUACCUGGUGUCCUCUUUAGAUACCUUAGAAUACUGUAAACAGCUUUAAAAUGCUCUAGUCCAGGCGCAUGCAUAAACUGACUAACCAUACUCACUAAGAAUGCUAUGUCAGGGCGUGUAUGGGAUAGGUAAAUCAAUCUCCCAACAAGUCUUUGAUAACAAUCCCGGUCCUUCACAUUCUUGGCUUUUGUAGGUUGCAGUUUUACAUUCAGCUAUAGGUGUUUCAGCAAGCUUACAUCCUAACAUACAUGUCUCAUCAAGAAGAUCAAGAACAUACUUCCGUUGAUUUACAAAGAUACCUUCUUUGGACCUAGCAAACUCCAUCCCAAGAAAGUAUUUUAAUGCCCCCAGGUCCUUAAUCUCAAAUUCCUCAGCAAGUUUCCCUUUCAGCUUCUCUAGUUCAUUGCAAUCAUCCCCAGUUAACACAAUAUCGUCAACAUACACAAUUAAGAUGGCUACUUUACCUUCAUUUGAAUGUUUGCAGAACAUCAUGUGAUCAGCUUGACUUUGAGUAUAUCCAUAAUGCUUUAUUACUUUGCCAAAGUGCUCAAACCAAGCUCUAGGCGACUGCUUAAGUCCGUAUAAGGACUUCUUCAAUUUGCACACUUUCCCAACUCCAAAACUUUCUUCAAAACCUGGUGGAGGACUCAUGAACACUUCCUCCUCUAGGUCUCCAUUAAGAAAUGCAUUUUUAACAUCCAAUUAGUGUAAGGGCCAAUUGGAAUUUACUGCAAGGGACAACAAAACUCUAAUUGAGUUUAUUUUAGCUAUGGGGACGAAAGUCUUUUGGUAGUCUAUCCCAUAGGUUUGAGUAAAACCCUUUGCCACAAGUCUGGCUUUGUAUCUUUCAACACUUCCAUCUGCUUUACUCUUUAUUGUAAACACCCAUUUGCACCCUACAACUUUUUUUUCCCUUGGUAAAUCUACAACCUCCCAAGUGCCAUUCUUUUUUAAGGCAUUCAUUUCCUCAAACACUGCCAAUUUCCAGCUCGGUUCAUCUAGUGCUUCUUGAAUAUUUCUAGGUACCACCAGUUUUGAAAUAUUUGUAGUGAAUGAUUUAUAGUUGUCAGAAAGGUUACUAUAGGAGAUAUAUUUGGCAAUGGGAUGUUUAGUGCAGGCUCGGGUUCCCUUUCUAAGAGCAAUAGGGAGAUCAAGGUCAAGGUCUUGUGCAGGAACAAUUGGGGCUAAUCCUAAACCAGGUUCGGGUGCAGAUAUUUCUGGAAUUGGACCAAAGUGUGAUGGUAAACUUAUAUCAGCAACAGAAGAAGAAGAAACAUGUAUUUGAGUAGGAAUAGAAGGAGGGUUACCUGAGACAUUUAGAGAGCCAUUGCCCAGGGCUUUCGGUUGACCAUGUGCUGGGAUGAUCGGCUGGUCUUUACUUCUUCUAGGGACUUUUUUCCUUGAAUAAACCAUAGGCUCAAGAUUGUUUCUAUUUUUUUUCAUUCGUAGUAUUUCUUCUUCUGACAGACCAAUUUCAGAUUCGGAUUCAGUAGGUUUAGUUUCCUUAUUUUCUUUUUCAAGAGAGAUAUCAAGAAUUACACUAGGCAAAGGUUCAACAAUUUCCCAAAAAUUUGGUUCCACUAAUUUCUCCCCCUGAAGUAAAUUUUUGGUAAAAUAUGGAACAUUUUCCAUAAAGGAAACAUCCAUAGUUGUGUAAAAACGUUUUGUA